UGGGGAAUAUUGCGCAAUGGAGGCAACUCUGACGCAGCCAUGCCGCGUGUGUGAAGAAGGCCCUCGGGUUGUAAAGCACUUUCAAUUGGGAGAAAAAGCUUGUCGUUAAUAGCGGCAAGCCUUGAUGUUACCUUUAGAAGAAGCACCGGCUAACUCCGUGCCAGCAGCCGCGGUAAUACGGAGGGUGCGAGCGUUAAUCGGAAUUACUGGGCGUAAAGCGCGCGUAGGCGGUUGCUUAAGUCGGAUGUGAAAGCCCCGGGCUCAACCUGGGAACUGCAUUCGAUACUGGGCGACUAGAGUACGAGAGAGGGAGGUAGAAUUCCACGUGUAGCGGUGAAAUGCGUAGAUAUGUGGAGGAAUACCGGUGGCGAAGGCGGCCUCCUGGCUCGAUACUGACGCUGAGGUGCGAAAAGCGUGGGGAGCAAAACAGGAUUAGAUACCCUGGUAGUCCACGCCGUAAACGAUGUCUACUAGCCGUUGGGGUACUUGAGACCUUAAGUGGCGCAGCUAACGCACUAAGUAGACCGCCUGGGAGUACGGCC
rnacentral:rRNA from 1 species